CCUGCUGGAGUGCUGACCAGUGGAACAUGCCUUCGAGUAAACUUCCCUUUAUGGGGCUUGAACUAGGGAGUAGCGUCCCGACCAAAAGAGGGUUGAAAGCAAGUAAAGCAGACCGUGCAUGUUAGGUGUGUGUAAUUGUGAGUAGCGGUAGAUCAGUUGCCGAGCUGGUC
rnacentral:sRNA from 1 species